ensembl:lincRNA
UUGUAUCCUGAGACUUUGCUGAAGUUGCUUAUCAGCUUAAGGAGAUUUUGGGCUGAGACAAUGGGGUUUUCUAAAUAUACAAUCAUGUCAUCUGCAGUUAUGCUUUAUAUGAAUGAAUUCAGAUUCCUGCUUCCAGGAAAAGAAAAAUUGUGGGUUCAUUGCAGAAAAAACUUCCUGAUGUUUGAUCUUGACGUUUGCCUUCUUUCUUGAGGUGAUGUAGAAGCUUCACUGUAGUUUAGUGGUGAUUCUAGAAAUGGAGUGACAUAAAUGAUCAUUGCCUACACUUUAAAAUCCAAUUCCUUUUCCUUAUUUAUGACUCAGUCAUACUUGGAAGUGAAGCUCAGGAUUCCUGUGUUUAAAAUGCUUCCUAAAUAUUGUAAGGAAGCUGACAGGAAACAGUGUUUGGGGAAGUAAUUUUCUAGGAUCCUCUAUAAUGUUCCCUCUUUACUGAGUAUCCUACUGAGCUGGCAAUUAAAGAACUCCCAGCAAGAGUCAUGUGACUUUUUCUAAUAAAACAGGUCUCGCUGUCUCUUAAGCCGGACCUGAUCACCUUUUUGGAGCAAAGGAAAGAGCCCUGGAAUGUGAAGAGUGAGGAGACAGUAGCCAUCCAGCCAGAUAUGUUUUCUCAUGAUACUCAAGGCCUCUUGAGAAAAAAGUGCAUAGAAGCAUCAUUCCAAAAAUUGAUAUUGGAUAGAUAUGGGAGCUGUGGCCCUCAGAAUUUACACUUAAGGAAAGAGUGGGAAAGUAAGGAGAAAAAUCAGUACAAUAAAUCUGAUACAACAUUAAGCCAAGGCAUAAGCCCCAGAAGACAUCAGAAAACUCAUUUUCUACAGAACCAUUACAAAUGUAAAAUAUGUGAGAAAGUCUUUCAUGAAUGCACCAACCAUAUCCAUCAGAGUAUCCAUAUUCAAGAGAAGUCUGCCAAAUGUAUCAAGUGUGUAGAAACUUUUAUGCAGUCAUCAAAACAUACUCAGCCUCAGAAAAUCCAUGUUGGAGAAAAGUCACACAGAUGUAAUAAUGGUGAGAAAAUCCUUAGUAAAUUGUCAAGUCUAAGAAACCAUAAGAUAAUCCAUAAUGAAGAGAAACCUUACAAAUGUAAAGAAUGUGACAAAGCCUUUAACCAUCGUUCACACUUUACUUAACAUCAAAUAAUACAUACUGGAGAGAAACCAUAAAAAUGUAAAGAAUGUGGCAAAGCCUUCAAUUCUAGUUCACAUUUUACUAUACAUCAGAGAAUUCACACUGGAGAAAAACUUUACAAAUGUAAAGCAUGUACCAAAUAUUUUACUUAUUCUUCAAAUCUUGGGCAUCAGAGAAUUCAUACUGGAGAGAAACCUUACAAAUGUAAAGAAUGUGGUAAAUCAUUUAAAGUGUCUUCAGCCCUUACUCAGCACAAGAGAAUUCAUAGGGGAAAGAAGCCCUACAAAUGUAAGGAAUGCAGCAAAACCUUUAACGGUAGGUCAUACCUAACUAAACAUCAGAGAAUUCAUACCAGAGAAAAACUUACACAUGUAAAUCAUGUAGCAAAUCUUUUUCUCGUCCCUCGAGUCUUAUUAUCCACCAGAGAAUUCAUACUGGAGAAAAACCCUAUAAAUGCAAAGAAUGUGGCAAAGCCUUUAAUUGUAGUUCAUGCCUUACUUGACAUCGAAGCAUUCAUACUAGAGAGAAACCCUACAAAUGUAAGGAAUGCAGCAAAGCCUUUAACUAUAGGUCAUACCUAAUUAACAUCAGAGAAUUCAUACCAGAGAAAAACUUGACAAAUGUAAAUCUUUUUCCCAUUCCUCAAGUCUUUUUGUCCACCAGAGAAUUCAUACUGGGGAAAAACCCAAUAAAUGCAAAGAAUGUGGCAAAGCCUUUAAUUAUAGUUCACGCCUUAAUCAACAUCAAAUAAUUCAUACUAGAGAGAAACCCCACAUAUGUAAAGAAUGUGGCAAGUUAUUUAAUCGAUGCUCAACCCUUUCUCGACAUAAGAUAAUUCAUAUUAGAGAAUAUCUAUAGUUGUGGUAAAUGUGGAAAGAGUUUUAUCCAAAAUUUAGAACCUAAAAAUCACCAUAGAGUUUAUAGGGAAACAGACUUUGCACACUGAAUAAAUGGGAGGAAGUAUUUAAUCAAAACUCAAGUCUGAAUGUGUCAGGACUUACACAAAAAAGGACUAAAGCACAGAUCCCAGACUUUACAUUAAAUAAGAAUAUUUAUUAUGGAGGAUUACUCUAAAGCCAAAGCAGUUACUUAUUUUGUUAUGUGUUUCAAAUGAGCAAAAACAUUGAUGUUUGGACAAGUAAUUAUUCAGUGAGCACUUUAUUUGUAUUGAAAAUAUUUGAGAUUUGUAUAAAGCAAACAAUAAUUCAGUUCUCAAAUUAGUUGUUAUACCUUAAUGCCUAGUGUUUAUAUAAAAACAUAUAGUCUAUUUUUUCUACAUCAGAGCUACGAGAGGUUGUUUUAUAGUAGAUGAACAUCAUUAAUAUCAAUUUAUUUUCAUGGAAGUUUAAUGGCAAAUGUAGAAUACGUGAAGAAAAUCUAAAAGACACUCUUUGUGUUUGAAUCAUAAAACAGUAAUGCAUGUAAAUAUAUAGUACAUAUUUAGGGCAUUAUUAUUCUAUACUAAAAGAAGAAUAUUCUGAGUUUAUUACAUCAAUUGUUCCUUAAGUAGAAAAAAACUGGUCAGUUAUUUGAAAUACCAGCAUACCUUUAUACUA